UACGUAGGGCGCAAGCGUUAUCCGGAAUUAUUGGGCGUAAAGAGCUCGUAGGCGGUUUGUCGCGUCUGCCGUGAAAGUCCGGGGCUCAACUCCGGAUCUGCAGUGGGUACGGGCAGACUAGAGUGUGGUAGGGGAGACUGGAAUUCCUGGUGUAGCGGUGGAAUGCGCAGAUAUCAGGAGGAACACCAAUGGCGAAGGCAGCACUCUGGGACGGUACUGACGCUGAGACGCGAAAGCGUGGGGAGCAAACAGG
rnacentral:rRNA from 1 species